GAGGGUCAAUAUUAUGUCUACUGCCCCCCACUAGACUGACACAAACCAAACAACUUUUUUCAUUUAUCGACUACUGCAAUUUAACACUACAUUUACUUUGGAAUAGCAGUUUUCAGUCCGUCAAUAAAUACAGCAGUCAUCAUUGGUCCCUAAUACAAAGUCUACUGGGGGGCACUAAUGUAACAAAUUUUAUGGUUAUGACUGCACAAUAGCAUAUAGCAGUUUUCAGUCCCAUAUAACAGACUUCAGUCCGUCGUUGAUUCCUUCAGAAGGCCAACCCCGGCCUCGCCGAGCUUCUAAGCGACGAGGACCGUUGGCUUGGCGUCGAGCCUGGCCGCGGAGAGCACGACGACGAGUUUCGGCGCCGCGAUGGCGAGAGCAGGCGUCGUGGGCGAUCUGCUGGAGGGAUGGAGGGAGGGAGAGAGAAAUCCGACGUCGUC
rnacentral:lncRNA from 1 species